rnacentral:miRNA from 1 species
UCUGGAAUUGUAGUAGAGUGUAU